rnacentral:rRNA from 1 species
CCUACGGGGUGCAGCAGUGAGGAAUAUUGGUCAAUGGACGAGAGUCUGAACCAGCCAAGUAGCGUGAAGGAUGACUGCCCUAUGGGUUGUAAACUUCUUUUAUAAAGGAAUAAAACGAGUCACGUGUGCCUUUUUGCAUGUACUUUAUGAAUAAGGAUCGGCUAACUCCGUGCCAGCAGCCGCGGUAAUACGGAGGAUCCGAGCGUUAUCCGGAUUUAUUGGGUUUAAAGGGAGCGUAGAUGGGUUGUUAAGUCAGUUGUGAAAGUUUGCGGCUCAACCGUAACAUUGCAGUGGAUACUGGCAGUCUUGAGUACAGUUGAGGUAGGCGGAAUUCGUGGUGUAGCGGUGAAAUGCUUAGAUAUCACGAAGAACCCCGAUUGCGAAGGCAGCUUACUAAAGUGUGACUGACAUUGAUGCUCGAAAGUGCGGGUAUCGAACAGGAUUAGAUACCCUAGUAGUC